rnacentral:piRNA from 1 species
UCAUGGACCCUCGUGAUUGCAUUGGA